rnacentral:lncRNA from 1 species
AUGAAAGUUAAAUUUUCAUAAACUUGCAUAUAUUGGUUAGGCUGGUCAUAGUGGGAGUAGCAUAGGUAGUAACAUAGAUGCCACAUAAGCAAAAUUGGUGAUGUGGCAAGUAGUUAAUGAGGAGAGAGGCAAAUAGAGUAACAUAAUAUGUUACCAUCACAUAGCGGUUUCCAAUGCAUAAUGAGUCUACAAAGUAAUAAAUAAAGGCAACUAUGUUACCACACCUAUGACACUACCCACUAUGAAGGUAAUAACAUAGACUAGUAACAUAUGUAUGUUACUAGUCUAAGUUACUCUCCACUAUGACCAGCCUUAGUAACAUAGGAGGUUAAGUUUGACUAUUUUUCAUAUAUACAUAUGGUGUAUCAUAUAAACUACAGGGAACUACUAAUUGCAGUUUCUUGCUUGGUAAUAUAAGAAAUUUCACUGCUUUGCAGACGGAUGUCGAUCCAGCCGAAGAUUUGUCUGAAAUAUAUGAAAAAUAGUACACUUGAAUAAUGAUUAACAAAUGUUGUUGCAGACAGCCAGAAAAUUAAUACUAUUUGGUAAUCAAAUUUAUAACGCGUAAUUUACGGGACGGCAUGCUCUAAGUUAAAAUUGGCUAGCAGUAGGAAAUUGUACCUUAACUCAAAGGUAAAUAUUAUUUAGGACAAGUAAACUGAACCAAAUUCCACCCCUCCUUUUCACAGAAUCAUCAAGCACUCCAUGCUUUGGUGCUUAGAAAAUGAUAAUUGUGCCUACAGUUCUAAUUCUAAACAUGUCAACACAACAUUCAAUUGAUGGAAAACCAAAUCAUUGUCUAUAUUAUUCACAUAUAAUACAGUACAAAAUGUAGAUGAUAUUGUUAAAGCAUUGUCUAUCCUUUCACGUGACACGUUAUUCCAAUAUAUAUAAUAUAUAUCAUACUAUGAAACAGGGAGUGAACGGUCUUGUCCAUUAAAAACGAUUACUUUUGUCUUGGAAGAGGACAAGAACAUAGAUUAGUGUUUUUUUUGGCUUGUUGGUGCUUACUUCCAAGUCCAAUAAGGCACUGUAAGAAAUGUACAAGUAGCUAACAAAACAAAAAAAUAUCUCACCAAAACCAUUGAUGGAUAACUCAGGACAAACAAUUCAAUUUGAAAGGGCACGUCUAGCUAAACAGGUAAGAAAAUAUAAAUUUCAUAAUGCAUAAUCUUGAUGCACAAUAUUACAUUGUUAGGGAGAGAACUAUCAUGUUACAUCGUUGUGAGCUUUAGAAAAGAAGGAACGGUGAAGAUCCCCACAAACUUGACAUCUCAACACUUCAAAGGAAAAGAAGACACCCAAUACAGUGUCACAAAACCAAGGUAAGUCAGUUUUUGGAUAGAAAAAUAAAUAAAACCUAAAUAAUAAUUUGAUUCUAAAUUAAAGCUUACCAUGAUCUUAGUCAAGAACAUCAAGUUGAUACAACAGCUACUUACAAACAGGGCAGGACUCAUCCUCUAACUUUAUUGUGGAUGAAAUAAAUGCUCGUUGAUAGUACUGUCAUCAAUCUCCUGAAGGUCCCUUUUUGCCAUCUUUGAGCUUUCUGUCCCCAUAUUCUGUAUAGCUUUAAACUGAUUGUUUUUACAUACAAAUUAUGACAACUCAUUUCGCCUAAUAAACAGAUCAAACCAAGUUAUAACUGAAUUUGUAAUCGUGAAGAAACAUGAAGAAUUAGGGGGGCGGGUGUCAGCUUGACAUGAACAUGGAGUUGAAUUAGAUGCCCGAUGCAACAGAUCAACCUAAAAAGGCUUUGAGAAUCAAUCUGUAGUAUUGACCUUGCACUGUACAUGACCUUGCACAUGUUUUGGAUAUCAUAAAGCAAAAAAAUACAUACAUACAUGUACAUGAUCGUCGAUCUCCUCCUCGUCCUCCUGAUUUCUCCUCCUCACACACCUAGGGCAAAAUAUGAAUGAUGCAGGGCCGAAGUGUGUAUGCUCUAUGUUGUCUUGGACAGCAGCGUGCCUGAGACACUGAUUUAAUCAGCCUGCAGCCGGCAAGCAAGCUGACGAGCUGCCCUGAGCGGAGUUGCCCGAGGUAAGAUCGUGCAAGGUCGUUGUUCUUCGAGGACGAGAUUGGGGGAGACCUAACAAUAAGGACAAUAUAUUGCAACUGGCUAGCCUCCGCUUUUUCCCACUUUCUGAAUUCCGAUCCUCUGCUCCUCAUCCUCUCAUCUCCUCUUCCACCAACAUGGACACCAGAUCGAGUAAGUGGAU